CAGUAGCCGCGGGAACACGAAGGGGGCUAGCGUUGUCCGGAAUUACUGGGCGUAAAGCGCACGUAGGCGGAUUGUUAAGUUAGGGGUGAAAUCCCAGGGCUCAACCCUGGAACUGCCUUUAAUACUGGCAAUCUCGAGUCCGAGAGAGGUGAGUGGAAUUCCGAGUGUAGAGGUGAAAUUCGUAGAUAUUCGGAGGAACACCAGUGGCGAAGGCGGCUCACUGGCUCGGUACUGACGCUGAGGUGCGAAAGCGUGGGGAGCAAACAGGAUUAGAUACCCGAGUAGUCCCUGUCUCUUAUAC
rnacentral:rRNA from 1 species